GGACCCGCACAAGCAGUGGAUUAUGUGGUUUAAUUCGAAGAUACGCGAAAAACCUUACCAGGGCUUGACAUCCGCAGAACCUUGUAGAGAUACGAGGGUGCCUUAGGGAACUGCGUGACAGGUGGUGCAUGGUUGUCGUCAGCUCGUGUCGUGAGAUGUUGGGUUAAGUCCCGCAACGAGCGCAACCCUUAUGGUUAGUUGCUAACAUUUAGUUGAGCACUCUAGCAAGACUGCCGUUGACAAAACGGAGGAAGGUGGGGACGACGUCAAAUCAUCAUGCCCCUUAUGUCCUGGGCUACACACGUAAUACAAUGGCCGUUAACAAUGGGAAGCCAAGCCGCGAGGCGGAGCAAAUCCCCAAAAACGGUCCCAGUUCGGAUUGCAGUCUGAAACUCGACUGUAUGAAGUUGGAAUUGCUAGUAAUCGUGAAUCAGCAUGUCA
rnacentral:rRNA from 1 species